AUACGUAGGGUGCAAGCGUUAAUCGGAAUUACUGGGCGUAAAGCGUGCGCAGGCGGUUUUGUAAGACAGUGGUGAAAUCCCCGGGCUCAACCUGGGAACUGCCAUUGUGACUGCAAGGCUGGAGUGCGGCAGAGGGGGAUGGAAUUCCGCGUGUAGCAGGGAAAUGCGUAGAUAUGCGGAGGAACACCGAUGGCGAAGGCAAUCCCCUGGGCCUGCACUGACGCUCAUGCACGAAAGCGGGGGGAGCAAACAGGAUUAGAUACCCUGGUAGUCCACGCCCUAAACGAUGUCAACUGGUUGUUGGGGAUUUAUUUUCUCAGUAACGAAGCUAACGCGUGAAGUUGACCGCCUGGGGAGUACGGCCGCAAGGUUAAAACUCAAAGGAAUUGACGGGG
rnacentral:rRNA from 1 species